ACACAGACCUUUUCUUUCUAGUGAAAAACCAGAUCAACAUUUAGCAACUCAAUAGUACAAAUAUGCAUCGUUGAGUUUUUGUUUUAUAUGUUAAAACAAACGGUCCAUUUUUUUAACAUUUCUCUCCAACGUGAACAGACCCCCCCCCCCCCUAAAAAAAGGAUAAGGAAAAAGAGGCUUGUACAAGUUACCGCGUCCAUUAAUUAUUGUCAACAUCAUCUAAUUCUCGCGGACGAGUCGCACGCAACCGUUUUGCACUUCAGCCCAAACGCCGAGGAUAUUAACAGAAUGUUGACACACUCCGAACUUUCUCGCAGAGACGGGGCACUUUUUGCUGAAAAAUUGCAGUAAAAAAAAUUAUCCCCAGACGGAGAGGGGAAGGGGGAAAAAGGCCAAAGACAAACAACGCCAGGUCGCAUCCUCGUCUCUCUCUCACUCUCUCUGAGAAUCCUGUAGCUUUAAAAUUCAGCGAAUGCCGCAGUUGCAAUUCCAUUAUUGCUUGUUCCACCCUCUCGCUCCUCUUUUUCUUUCAUCCAAUUCCUCGUACAGAGAAGUUCCCAAACCCACCGAGUCUGCCCAAAUGUGUACCCAAAUAGUAACAGAGCGAACUUUUUUUUUUUUUUUUUAACCCCCUCCCCUCUUUCAAGCGAGGUGUUCGGCUUCCAGCGACUGAAGUCACAUUGGGACACACACACACACACGCACACAACACUGCCAUCAUUAUAGACAAGUUAUUUUUAAACCUAGCCUUCGGUCGCGGGCUGUCUUCCAUCACAACAUCCAGCGCUAUUUCAGCAGAAUACUGCCAUUUAAAUCCACCAUCCGACCCAGAGGGGGGAACUUUGCAAGACGCCAAUCAAAGCUUGUAUUCCAAUAUGUGCUGUUCCGCGCUGGACUAGGCAAGCAAAAUGAGCCAUUGCAGCUGAGAAAAGUGCGGAGAUGCGUCGAGACAACGGAUCGGAGGAUGCAUCGUUGAGCAAACUACAAGCCUGGAGAGACCGGCCUGAAAGCAGCGGGGCCACACACUGCUACAAACAGUGGCUGCACUCUCCCAGCUCCACGUUAGGUGUUGUGGGCUGCUGCGUUUCGUUUAAAAUCGCAAUAUUCUUGCUCAACCCCAUGUCACUGUAGCGGCCACCACAACAACAACAACAACCAACCUCAACCCUAAAAAAAAGACAACUUGAAAAAAAGAAUAUAUGCAAGUUAGAAAGAAUUGUAAACUGCUGCUGCUAACUUGGAAGUUAACAAAAAAAAAACAAUUGUCACCAGGCGUCAGCCUGUGGUUUGGGUCCGCCUGCCCUCCAGAGUAAUUGGCUACUUGCAAGCACUGACGAUGGCCACGGGAUGAGCCAGUAUUGGCACCUGCACUUGUCAGUCACAGCUCGCCCGGAGAUAGGAAACCAAAACCCAGCCCUGACUUCGUAACCCCACGAAUACUAUCGAUUCUGAUCAAUGUUAGAAGCGAAAAGGGAGGGGGGAGGGGCAGAGAUUGUGAGAGAGAGUGAGGAAGAGAAAGAGAGAAAGAGAAAGAGAGAGAGCCGGCGUCUCCGUGGCUGUAACUCGGCCGCUUCCACAGACCAGCCGAUCACUUUGACGAUCACUUUUGUCCAGUGAACGAAACGUGCUUUUUUACCUGUGAAUGAUAACGCGGCGAUGUCCAGCCGCCGCGGUAAAUCCUGCCUUCGCCUGAACGAAUUGAUACAUUCAGGCUGUAACAAAGUUGGUCAUUGAUUAGUGCGAAAAUAUCAACCGGUCUUUUUUGCAUUUUCUUGCACAGUAAUUUAUCCCCAAUUUGUGUUUCAGCCACGUUGCUGGAGAAAUCAAACCGCAUCAAAACAUCCACGUUUAUCUAAUAAUGUUCACAUUAUAUACGCAACAUUCCCAAGUAUAUUUCCCCCUGAAUUCGUUUCCAACCCCUCUCUCACAUUUGUUUUAAAUACUGUUUUUAACCCAAAAAAAGCAGUGAUGAUAAUUGUUUCAUGAACACGACUGCACCAGCCCCCAAACCUUCGAUAGUAUGUAUCCUGAAUUCUUAAUGAAAUGAGCAAUAGAAAAAACAGAUACUGCGAAAUCAUGGCCAUCGAACCGAUUCAUCAGCGUUCAAUAGCGAGAAAACUUUCAGACAUUCGGGUCUUGGGAGUGUCGCGUCCAACUCGUGGGAAGAACCCUGAUGAGAUUUCCAAAUGUUCCACAUGCAACAAUAUUAAACCGAUCUUUCUAUUUAUUAAACGCAUCAGUACAAACCCAUGAAACGCAGGUAGCUCGCGUUAUUCACAACCAUUUGUUUUCACCCCAGUUUCAUCGAUUAGUGGGAAAUAAACCCCACUGCAGAUAAUAGUUAUUUGAUAUUUCCAAAUACACAUUUGAUAACUAUAUUAGAAAACAAACUCAAGCAGGGAAGAGGUUACGCGUUAAAUGCGUUGCGUUUUUUUUGUGUGAAAGGAAGGGCAAUUUUGAGUAAUUAAUUACAUUUCUUAGCUUGUGUGUGUUUUUUUUUUAAGUAGCGUCAUUUUUUUUAACACUUCUUCUGUCCGACGCGGUUAUUUCUCCCUUUAAUAAGACGAUUCCACCCCCCCCCCCCCCCCCCCCCCACUAUAACGUUUAUGGAGUCUCAUUUUACUGGAAAGACAAACGGAGCCAUCACGGGGAGAUGAUUUUGAAGAAUGAAGAUAAUAAUCUAGUUAGGUACUUGUGAAGUUGCCAUUAUUUUCCACGGAAUAUUUAACCGGGCACUUCGUCAGUGAUUGAUUCGGAACAGCCAGCGCUUCCAUUUUUAAACACACCAUCCUCAAAGCCACUCCAUUAAACAUUUGUUUAAUAUUUCUGUUUCACGUUUGUUUAAAAAAAAAAUGUGAUCUCUUCAUACAAUCUCGUGUCAAUAUCGAUGCAUCUCAUCACACACACUAAUAUUUGCAAGGCACCAUAUUUUUUUUUUUGGAUAAACUAUUGAUCCCAAUAUGUAAGACACCCAGUUGGUAAAAAUCAAUUUUGAGUUAAUUGAUCUGGAGCGUGACUGUAAAUAGGGUAUGAUCUUCACGUGAAAAAUGACCCACAUUUCAGUCUCCUGGGCGAGAUUAUUUCAUCCUGUAGACUAAAUGCAAUCAGCUUCAUAAUAGCCGCUGAAAUUUACAAACGUGCCUGAAAAAACAACAACAAAUAAUAAAUAAACACACAACACCAGGCUUUAAGAGAUGCUGCUGCCUGACCCGCGGAGUUACUAUCCAACGCUGUGUGUCUUAAACCAGCAUCUGCAAUUCUCUCCCACCUACACAAGCUGUAUUCUGUAUUCGGGGCACCUCGUUUGUUCUAAUUGACUUUUAUUUGUUGUAUAAAUAGUCGAGAGCGAACCCAUUUUCUCGCUUAGACCUCUGCUGACUUCGGCGAUCAUAAUAGUGAAUAAUUAGGUGUGUGUGUGUUUCAUACUUAACAUGUACAACAAACUGCAGUAAAACAGUCGCAGAAUAAUCGGUUAUGUGGGGGCUUUGUAAUGUUGGAAGGAAAUAAUCCUGUAUUAAAA